rnacentral:rRNA from 1 species
GCUGGCGGUAUGCUUAACACAUGCAAGUCGAACGGUCUUAGGACAGUGGCGUACGGGUGAGUAAUACGUGAGUUAUCAACACUUAGGAGGAGCAUACCAAAUAGAAAUGUUUGUUAAUACUCCAUAAUGCUAUUAAGUUAAAGGUUUUUACCGCCUAGGUAUGAGCUUGCGUCUGAUUAGCUUGUUGGUAAGGUAAUGGCUUACCAAGGCAAUGAUCAGUAACUGGUCUGUGAAGAUGAUCAGUCACACUGGAAUUUAGAAUGGUACAGACUCCUACGGGAGGCAGCAGUGGGGAAUAUUUGGCAAUGAGCGAAAGCUUGACCAAGCAAUACCGCGUGGAGGAUGAAGGUCUUUGGGUUGUAAACUCCUUUUUCAGCUGAGGAAUUUUGACAGUAGGCUGAGAAUAAGCAUCGGCUAACUCCGUGCCAGCAGCCGCGGUAAUACGGGGGAUGCAAGCGUUAUCCGGAAUUAUUGGGCGUAAAGCGUUCGUAGGUGGUUUUUUAAGUUUAAUGUUAAAUUUCAAGGCUUAACCUUGUCUUGGCAUUAAAAACUAAGAGACUUUGGUUCAAUAGGGGUAAGGGGAAUUUCCAGUGGAGCGGUGAAAUGCGUUGAUAUUGGAAAGAACACCGGUGGCGAAGGCGCCUUACUAGGUUGUUACUGAAACUGAGGGACGAAAGCUAAGGUAGCAAAUCGGAUUAGAUACCCGAGUAGUCUUAGCCGUAAACUUUGUAUACUAAAUGAUGCUUACGAGCAUCGUUGCAGCUAACGCGAAGUAUACCGCCUGGGGAGUAUGCCUGCAAAGGUAAAACUCAAAGGAUUUGACGGGGGCCCGCACAAGCGGUGGAGCAUGCGGUUUAAUUCGAUGAUACACGAAGAACCUUACCAAGAUUUGGAUGUUUUAGUUUUUCCGUAGGGAAAUUUUAUACUUUUACACAGCUGGUGCAUGGCUGUCGUCAGUUCGUGUCGUGAGAUGUUGGGUUAAGUCCUAUAACGAACGCAACCCUUUUCUUUAGUUAUUUUUUAAAGAAACUGCCAGUGUUAAAUUGGAGGAAGGAGGGGAUGAAGUCAAGUCAGCAUGCCGCUUAUGUCUUGGGCUACACGCGUGCUACAAUGGUUGGUACAACGAGUUGCCAGUUUGUGAAAACGAGCUAAUCUUCAAAGCCAGCCUUAGUUCAGAUUGUAGUCUGCAACUCGAAUACAUGAAGUUGGAAUCGCUAGUAAUCGCCGGUAAGUUAUACGGCGGUGAAUACGUUCUCGGGCCUUGUACACACCGCCCGUCACACCAUGGAAGUCGAGCAAAUGUUAAGUUGUUUUGGCAAUCAGGAUUGGUUUGGUAACUGGGGUGAAGUCGUAACAAGGUAACCGU